rnacentral:lncRNA from 1 species
GUAUCCACACAGAGCCAUCUGAUCAGAGCACUGAGAUCAUCGAUGUGCUAGCACCUUGUAGAUCUCACUCCUCAUCCUUGGAUCUAGAUCUCUUCUUCUAGAUCUUGAAGAAGGAGAUCGCUGCGCAAACUCUUUCACGCAGAUCUGAUGGGAUCUAAAUCAGAUCACCAUGAAGAGAAGAAGAACCCUUCUUCUUCUCUUCUUCUCUCUCUUUUUUUCUUUUAGAUUUGAUCUCUAUUAGAUUUGGGCAUGAACAUGAAGUGGAGAAGAUAAGAGGAGGCAUAUAUAUGAAGGAUAGAUAUAAGAAAGAAGAGACCUCUCAAAUCUCACGCACACCCUCUCUUCACCCAUCCCUUUUUUUUUUAAUUUUUGUCGCACACACCCCCUAUCCCUCAUGCCCCCUUAGAGAUAAAUGUCAUAUCUUAUCAAAUGGGGAAUGUAUGGCAUGUAAGAAAAGGAAAGAAAAAGUUGGUGUGCCAAAAACAAAUCAGGA